rnacentral:rRNA from 1 species
UACGAAGGGGACUAGCGUUGUUCGGAAUCACUGGGCGUAAAGCGCACGUAGGCGGAUGUGUCAGUCAGGGGUGAAAUCCCGGGGCUCAACCUCGGAACUGCCUUUGAUACAGCACGUCUCGAGUCCGGAAGAGGUGGGUGGAAUUCCUAGUGUAGAGGUGAAAUUCGUAGAUAUUAGGAAGAACACCGGUGGCGAAGGCGGCCCACUGGUCCGGUACUGACGCUGAGUGCGAAAGCGUGGGGAGCAAACAGG